rnacentral:rRNA from 1 species
GACGAACGCUGGCGGCGUGCCUAAUACAUGCAAGUCGAACGCAGUGGGGACGAGGGAGUAACACGUGGGUAACCUCCCAUCAGAGGGGAUAACACUUGGAAACAGGUGCUAAACCGAUACUGAUGGAUGGAACCGGGGUGCAUUAGCUAGUUGGUGAGGUAACGGAUCACCAGGGCCACGAUGCAUAGCCGAUCUGAGAGGGGGAUCGGCCACACGGGGACUGAGACACGGCCCAGACGCCUACGGGAGGCAGCAGUAGGGAAUAUUCGGCAAUGGAGGAAAGUCUGACCGAGCAACGCCGCGUGAGUGAAGAAGGUUUUCGGGUCGUAAAACUCUGUUGGUAGAGAAGCGGUAUUUAACGAGAAAGCCACGGCUAACUACGUGCCAGCAGCCGCGGUAAUAA